CGGAGGAAAAGAAACCAACAGGGAUUGCCCUAGUAACGGCGAGUGAAGCGGCAACAGCUCAAAUUUGAAAUCUGGCCUCGGCCCGAGUUGUAAUUUGCAGAGGAUGCUUCUGGCGCGGUGCCUUCCGAGUUCCCUGGAACGGGACGCCACAGAGGGUGAGAGCCCCGUAUGGUCGGACACCAAGCCUGUGUGAAGCUCCUUCGACGAGUCGAGUAGUUUGGGAAUGCUGCUCUAAAUGGGAGGUAAAUCUCUUCUAAAGCUAAAUACCGGCCAGAGACCGAUAGCGCACAAGUAGAGUGAUCGAAAGAUGAAAAGCACCUUGAAAAGGGGGUUAAAUAGUACGUGAAAUUGUUGAAAGGGAAGCACUUAUGACCAGACUUGGGCCGGGCGGCUCAUCAGGGGUUCUCCCCUGUGCACUCCGCCCGGCACAGGCCAGCAUCGGUUCUCGUGGGGGGAUAAGACCGUCAGGAACGUAGCACCCUCCGGGGUGUGUUAUAGCCUGGCGGACGAUACCCCCGUGGGGACCGAGGUCCGCGC
rnacentral:rRNA from 1 species